rnacentral:RNase_P_RNA from 1 species
AAGGCGGGGCGAGGCGAUCGAUCGUCCGCCGUCAGGCGGGCGGUAGGAAAGUCCGAACUGGACAGGGCAGGGUGGUCGGUAACGCCGACCCGCCCGGCGGUCAAACGCCGGGCGAGGGAAAGUGCCACAGAAACGACACCGCCGAUGGAUCCGCCGCUUCGGAUCUCAGGCAAGGGUGAAAUGGUGCGGUAAGAGCGCACCGCGUCCACCGUGAGGCGGACGGCCGGGUAAACCCCACCGCCAGCAAGCCCGCGUAGGCAGCCAGCGGUCCGGCUCGCCGGACCCGCGACGCGGCCCGCGUCGCUACGAGCUGUGGGUAGGGUGCUAGAGCCGUCCGGCAACGGCCGGCCCAGAUGAAUGAUCGCCCGCCGGCGCUAACCCGCCGGCGAACAGGAUUCGGCUUACGUCCCCGCCUUGUCC